AGUGGGAUAGCUGGGUCAAAUGGUGGUUCCACUCCGGUUUUCCAAGGAAUCUCCAUACUGCUUUCCAUAUUGGCUGCACCAAUUUGCAGCCCCACCAGCAGU
rnacentral:pre_miRNA from 1 species